GAUGACGUCACUUCAUCCCUCCACGUGCUCGGAAGUGAAUGGUCGCGAGGACGCUAUGACGCCUCCGCCUCCAGGCAUCGCGGAGUACAAACAUUUGUAGAUGUCUGGUUUCAACCUGUGGUCUGGCUACAACCGAUACAAGAUUAAUUUGAUUAUGUCACUCAGCAGCUCUACAAAACAAAGUGCUAAAGUCAGAUAAGAUCAUCAUACAUCUCCCAGACACAUGGAGCUCUCUUGCAAUUGGAAGGAAAUUCACCCAAGGGGAAGCCUCUCUGGGAAUUCUUUUUUGCUGGAGCUGCUGUGAAAUGGCUUCCAAGGUCAGUGUCAAUCCACACAAGUUCUCCCACACUGUAACUGUGUGUAACUUUCCCUGCGCAGAGUGCUUUUCCUGGGGUGUGGUCUUCAUUUUUGAGUGCAGAUGGGCACUGAGAUGGAUUCUGGAUUGGCCUGAGACAGACUGACUCCUGAAGAUUUAGUGAUUGUUCCACUAUAGACUCCAGUUAAGAAAUGCCAAAAUCCUGCAGGGCAGCAAUGGAAGUGGAAAGAAAUGGAACUUCCCUUGUGAUCCAUGUGCUAAGAUUGCAGUAC